rnacentral:rRNA from 1 species
AGUGACUUUGUUUAACGGCCGCGGUAUCCUAACCGUGCGAAGGUAGUGCAAUCACUUGUUCUUUAAAUGAGGACUAGUAUGAACGGCAUCACGAAGGUUACACUGUCUCCUUUCUCUAAUCAGUGAAAUUGAUUUUCCCGUGAAGAAGCGGGAAUAAAUAUAUAAGACGAGAAGACCCUAUGGAGCUUUAAACUAUUAACAAUUAUUUUUUCUUAACAAACCUUAAGGCUACAAAAUUAAUUUAAAUAUUCUGUUUACCAGUUUUCGGUUGGGGUGACCACGGAGUAAAACUUAUCCUCCACGAUGAAUUAGAGCCCGUCUCUAAGCAAAAAACUACAAUUUUAAGCAUCAAAAAAUUGACUCUAUUGACCCAAUAUUUGAUCAACGAACCAAGUUACCCUAUGGAUAACAGCGCAAUCCAUCUCAAGAGCUCAUAUCGACAGAUGGGUUUACGACCUCGAUGUUGGAUCAGGAUGUCCAAGUGGUGCAGCCGCUACUAAAGGUUCGUUUGUUCAACGAUUAAAAUCCUACGUGAUCU